AUUGAUUAUUGAUCUGGGGGACAGAGAUGGAUGUAGGAGAAGGAGAAGACACCAAGGAGUGACGGGAUGAGGACCGUGGAGCUGCUGCAGAGGUCCAUGGUAAAGUUUGAUGCACCUGUGCUGUUCUGAAUGGACCAUAUUCACCUCCACUGUCAGCCUCCUCUCUCAGCCUCAUCAUGCCUUCUGCUCGUCUGACCACCAUGGGAUUCAGGGCCUUUAGCCAAUCUGCCCUCUGCCUCUGGAACGCCCUCCCUCCUGACAUCACAAUCACCGGCACCAGCACCAUCUCUCCCUUUUCAAAUCUUGACAAAAACUCAUCAAUUCACACAAGAAUGUUUACUCUGAUCAAGCACCACGGUCCUUUUUAUUUUGCCUUCUGAUUUCUUUUUAUUGAGUGCCCUGAAAGGCACCUUGAAUAAAAUGUAUUAAUAUUAAAAUGGGCACA